rnacentral:rRNA from 1 species
AUUGAACGCUGGCGGCAGGCCUAACACAUGCAAGUCGAGCGGUAGCACAGAGAGCUUGCUCUCGGGUGACGAGCGGCGGACGGGUGAGUAAUGUCUGGGAAACUGCCUGAUGGAGGGGGAUAACUACUGGAAACGGUAGCCAAUACCGCAUAACGUCGCAAGACCAAAGUGGGGGACCUUCGGGCCUCAUGCCAUCAGAUGUGCCCAGCUGGGAUUAGCUAGUAGGUGGGGUAAUGGCUCACCUAGGCGACGAUCCCUAGCUGGUCUGAGAGGAUGACCAGCCACACUGGAACUGAGACACGGUCCAGACUCCUACGGGAGGCAGCAGUGGGGAAUAUUGCACAAUGGGCGCAAGCCUGAUGCAGCCAUGCCGCGUGUAUGAAGAAGGCCUUCGGGUUGUAAAGUACUUUCAGCGAGGAGGAAGGCGUUAAGGUUAAUAACCUUGGCGAUUGACGUUACUCGCAGAAGAAGCACCGGCUAACUCCGUGCCAGCCGCCGCCGUAA